UACGUAGGGUGCAAGCGUUGUCCGGAAUUAUUGGGCGUAAAGAGCGUGUAGGCGGCUAUGCAGGUCCGCUGUGAAAACUCGAGGCUCAACCUCGAGACGUCGGUGGAAACCGCAUGGCUAGAGUCCGGAAGAGGAGAGUGGAAUUCCCGGUGUAGCGGUGAAAUGCGCAGAUAUCGGGAAGAACACCCGUGGCGAAGGCGGCUCUCUGGGCCGAUACUGACGCUGAGGAGCGAAAGCGUGGGGAGCGAACAGG
rnacentral:rRNA from 1 species